rfam:Xylona heveae TC161 unplaced genomic scaffold L228scaffold_3, whole genome shotgun sequence.
GGCCUCGUGGCCUAAUGGUAAGGCAUCUGAUUUCGGCUCAGAAGAUUGCGCGUUCGAGUCGCGUCGAGGUCG